CGCCAAUACAUGCCGAGUCCCUGAAUGGCGCAGGGAGCGGGGGAACCAAAAACGGGGGCGUAGGACAAACUGUCCAGGGCAACUCCGGCCCCAGCCCGUCAGCUCACCCCGUAGGCGAACGGAGCGAAAGA
rfam:Chloroflexi bacterium RIFCSPLOWO2_12_FTLL_71_12 rifcsplowo2_12_scaffold_18281, whole genome shotgun sequence.